rnacentral:rRNA from 1 species
ACGGGAGGCAGCAGUGAGGAAUAUUGGUCAAUGGACGAAGGUCUGAACCAGCCAAGUAGCGUGAAGGAUGACUGCCCUAUGGGUUGUAAACUUCUUUUGUGCGGGAAUAACGGGCGCCACGUGUGGUGUUAUGCAUGUACCGUACGAAUAAGGAUCGGCUAACUCCGUGCCAGCAGCCGCGGUAAUACGGAGGAUCCGAGCGUUAUCCGGAUUUAUUGGGUUUAAAGGGAGCGUAGGCGGGAGAUCAAGUCAGUUGUGAAAUGUACAUGCUCAACAUGUGCACUGCAGUUGAAACUGGUUUUCUUGAGUGCGUAAGAGGCAGGCGGAAUUCGUCGUGUAGCGGUGAAAUGCUUAGAUAUGACGAAGAACUCCGAUCGCGAAGGCAGCUUGCCGGGCCGCAACUGACGCUGAAGCUCGAAGGUGCGGGUAUCGAACAGGAUUAGAUACCCUGGUA